rnacentral:rRNA from 1 species
GGGAGCGGCAGACGGGUGAGUAACGCGUGGGAACGUACCUUUUGCUACGGAAUAACUCAGGGAAACUUGUGCUAAUACCGUAUGUGCCCUUCGGGGAAAGAUUUAUCGGCAAAGGAUCGGCCCGCGUUGGAUUAGCUAGUUGGUGAGGUAAAGGCUCACCAAGGCGACGAUCCAUAGCUGGUCUGAGAGGAUGAUCAGCCACACUGGGACUGAGACACGGCCCAGACUCCUACGGGAGGCAGCAGC